rnacentral:piRNA from 1 species
UGUGACCCGCACCACCCUGCCU